UUAAUUUUUAACUAGGUUAGGAGUGAAAGCAUGGACAUUCUAGGCAGAAAAUAAAAGAGAUUAAUUUUAGACUUGAGUUUAUUAAAGAAAAUUAGAUUUUAAAAGUUCACCUUUCAAUAUAAUCCAUAGGUUCACAGAAAAAUAAAUAAAUAAAAAAACAGAAGUUCAUCUAUUUGUAGUUAGCAUUGAAAAAUAUAACUAAACUGAAAUUUUAUUUUCCACUGUAACUUAAACAGGUAAAUUUUGAAAAUCUACUUUUAUAGUUCACAGAAUAGUAUUAAAAUUUAUUACAAUUUACAGUCCAAACAAAAUUGUAAUUAACAGAUUAAAGAGAUGCGGUAACAUUACAUGUAUACUUUUUAAAAUUUUUAGCAAAGCAAGAAAACAAAAAGCAUCGCUGAAGAACUGGAACUCAGUAUUUUGAAAAUCAGUCACAGUCUUAAUGAACUUAAGAAAGAACUUCAUAGUACAGCGACACAGCUGGCAGCAGAUCUAUUAAAAUACCAUGCUGAUCAUGUGGUUCUAAAAGCAUUAAAACUUACUGGAGUAGAAGGAAAUUUAGAAGCUUUGGCUGAAUAUGCCUGUAAACUCUCUGAACAGAAAGAGCAGCUUGUUGAG
rnacentral:lncRNA from 10 species